rnacentral:rRNA from 1 species
AUUGAACGCUGGCGGCAUGCCUUACACAUGCAAGUCGAACGGCAGCGCGGGGCAACCUGGCGGCGAGUGGCGAACGGGUGAGUAAUAUAUCGGAACGUACCCUGGAGUGGGGGAGUAACGUAGCGAAGUUAACGCUAAUACCGCAUACGAUCUAAGGAUGAAAGGUAGGGGAGUCGCAAGACCUCAUGCUCCUGGAGCGGCCGAUAUCUGAUUAGCUAGUUGGGGGUAAGGCCUACCAAGGCAUCGAUC